UACGUAGGGUGCGAGCGUUAAUCGGAAUUACUGGGCGUAAAGCGUGCGUAGACGGUUUCGUAAGUCGGGUGUGAAAUCCCCGGGCUCAACCUGGGAAUUGCAUUCGAAACUGCGAGGCUAGGGUACGGAAGAGGGAAGCGGAAUUUCUGGUGUAGCGGUGAAAUGCGUAGAUAUGUGGAGGAACACCGAUGGCGAAGGCAGCCCCCUGGGAUGAGACUGACGCUCAUGUACGAAAGCGUGGGGAGCAAACAGG
rnacentral:rRNA from 1 species